GAAAUGCUAUAAGAAGUGUGAAUUGCAGAAUUCAGUGAAUCAUCGAAUCUUUGAACGCACAUUGCUCCCCUUGGUAUUCCAUGGGGCAUGCCUGUUCGAGCGUCAUUUGUACCCUCAAGCUCUGCUUGGUGUUGGGUGUUUGUCCCCGUCUCCGCGCGUGGACUCGCCCCAAAGUGAUUGGCAGCCGGCGUACUGGUCCCGGAGCGCAGCACAUGUCGCGCAAACGAGUGCCUUGGUACGGCGGCGUCCAUAAGCCCCUCUCUCACGCUCUUGACCUCGGAUCAGGUAGGGAUACCCGCUGAACUUAAGC
rnacentral:misc_RNA from 1 species